UACGAAGGGGGCUAGCGUUGCUCGGAAUCACUGGGCGUAAAGGGUGCGUAGGCGGGUCUUUAAGUCAGGGGUGAAAUCCUGGAGCUCAACUCCAGAACUGCCUUUGAUACUGAAGAUCUUGAGUACGGGAGAGGUGAGUGGAACUGCGAGUGUAGAGGUGAAAUUCGUAGAUAUUCGCAAGAACACCAGUGGCGAAGGCGGCUCACUGGCCCGUUACUGACGCUGAGGCACGAAAGCGUGGGGAGCAAACAGG
rnacentral:rRNA from 1 species